rnacentral:rRNA from 1 species
AGAGUUUGAUCAUGGCUCAGGAUGAACGCUAGCGGGAGGCCUAACACAUGCAAGCCGAGCGGUAGAGAUUCUUCGGAAUCUUGAGAGCGGCGUACGGGUGCGGAACACGUGUGCAACCUACCUUUAUCUGGAGGAUAGCCUUUCGAAAGGAAGAUUAAUACUCCAUAAUAUAUUUGAUGGCAUCAUUAAUAUUGAAAGCUCCGGCGGAUAGAGAUGGGCACGCGCAAGAUUAGCUAGUUGGUGAGGUAACGGCUCACCAAGGCAAUGAUCUUUAGGGGCCUGAGAGGGUGAUCCCCCACACUGGUACUGAGACACGGACCAGACUCCUACGGGAGGCAGCAGUGAGGAAUAUUGGUCAAUGGGUGCAAGCCUGAACCAGCCGUCCCGCGUGAAGGACGACUGCCCUAUGGGUUGUAAACUUCUUUUGUAUAGGGAUAAACCUACUCUCGUGAGAGUAGCUGAAGGUACUAUACGAAUAAGCACCGGCUAACUCCGUG